UGGGCAUCUCCCUGCUCAAGACCGUGGAUGUCUUAAAAAAAUGCACUGGAGAAAUUAAUAUUUUAGGGCUAAAACCAGAGAUGGGAGGGGGUUCUGCUGAGGCCUUCCUGGUGGCAACAACUGCAAUCUGCUGCCAGUGCUUGCAAGGUACCACACGUGCCCUUGAAAAAGAAACAGUAGCUACUGUGAGUUCUUCCAGAAGGCUUGGAUUGAAUAGGAAAUCCCGAGGAUGCUGCUAGUAAGUGUAAAAAUGUUGACUUUGGAUUUGCUGCUGUAUGUUUCCAGCUAAGAGUCUGUGUGAGUUUUGCUGUCAAUCCUCAGGGACAAUGCUUUGGUACAGUUAAUGUGGCACUUCAAAGCCUGAAUCUUGUAAGCAGGAGGUUGAAGCUAAAACAGGAGCAAAUUAAACCACCAAAGUUUGCUAAAUGGUUCUUUCCUCUGAUUGCUGAUGGUCUUUUAGUCCCUUCCCUGUUGGAGUCUAAAUGUCUACCAUCUCCUCUCAAAGUUGUGGCAUUGCUGGCCCAGGAAAAUUAAUUAUUUUCUUUUGUCUUCCAAUUGCUUUGUUUUUUUCCAUUUCACUAAACAGCCCUUUGAGAACCCCCUUACUGGCUGUGUGUAUUUGCUUUUAAUGUGCUUUUGCUGCAAAGCUUGCAGAGGUGCCUCCCCAGCUAAAAAAAACCCAACCAAACAAACAAGCAAACAAACAAAAACCCACAGACGUAAUCAAGUGCAAAAAUAGAAAGGGCUAUCACAAAAACAAACCAUUGAAACAUACUGGGUCACAAACCGGAUAUAAACCACUAGUGCUCGGGUGUUGCCAGCAGAGAAAAAAAUAAAAGUUUUGUUCUAAGAUCUGUUAAUGGGAUGAUUGCACCAGCAGCAUGGGGGCUCGACAGUGGGAGGCCACAUUCAGGACACUGGGCUCAACUUUUGGGACAAACUGGGAGGUGUCCAGAGGACAGCAACACACCUGGCAGUUGCAGAAAAUAUGACCACUGAUGAAACUCUGAAGGAAUCGAGCUGAGCACUAGACCUUUCUCAUUGGAGAGGAUAAGCACUGUUACUGAGUGUUAAAGAGAAGAGAUGGGUGUGCAUGUUGGAGCCUCAGGAUGAGUUGGGAGGAAGGCAGGCUGGCAGCUACAGCACGAGCCCUUACAACCACUGUUCCCAGAUCCCACUUCUGGUUCCACUGCUCACCCUGAACAGUGUUAUCUGAAGGUUCUUUGGAAAACCUACAUUGACCCUGAAAUUGAGCAAGGCGAGUACAAGAAAACAAGAAACCUUUACAGCAAGUUACUUAGUGGAUACAGCACAUCAAGGUACAUGUGGGCAUCCAGGACACAGAACUGGUCUUGAAUCUGGUCCACAAUGAGAAAAACCCUUGACUGCCUUGCUUGUAUGGCUUCUUCACCUCAACAGUGAACAAUUCAAUCCUAUGCCUGUGCCAUGAAGAGAGGAAAGACUUUUCUCCAAGUUUCUUGGGUAUUGUACAGUAUUUUCACUGGUCAUGAAU